UACGUAGGGUGCGAGCGUUAAUCGGAAUUACUGGGCGUAAAGCGUGCGCAGGCGGUUUUGUAAGCCAGAUGUGAAAUCCCCGGGCUUAACCUGGGAAUGGCAUUUGGGACUGCAAGGCUUGAGUGCGGCAGAGGAGACUGGAAUUCCUGGUGUAGCAGUGAAAUGCGUAGAUAUCAGGAGGAACACCGAUGCGAAGGCAGGUCUCUGGGCUGACACUGACGCUCAUGCACGAAAGCGUGGGGGAGCAAACAGG
rnacentral:rRNA from 1 species